AACGCUAGCGACAGGCUUAACACAUGCAAGUCGAGGGGCAGCAUGAUUUGUAGCAAUACAGAUUGAUGGCGACCGGCGCACGGGUGAGUAACGCGUAUGCAACUUACCUAUCAGAGGGGGAUAGCCCGGCGAAAGUCGGAUUAAUACCCCAUAAAACAGGGGUCCCGCAUGGGAAUAUUUGUUAAAGAUUCAUCGCUGAUAGAUAGGCAUGCGUUCCAUUAGGCAGUUGGCGGGGUAACGGCCCACCAAACCGACGAUGGAUAGGGGUUCUGAGAGGAAGGUCCCCCACAUUGGUACUGAGACACGGACCAAACUCCUACGGGAGGCAGCAGUGAGGAAUAUUGGUCAAUGGCCGAGAGGCUGAACCAGCCAAGUCGCGUGAAGGAAGAAGGAUCUAUGGUUUGUAAACUUCUUUUAUAGGGGAAUAAAGUGGAGGACGUGUCCUUUUUUGUAUGUACCCUAUGAAUAAGCAUCGGCUAACUCCGUGCCAGCAGCCGCGGUAAUACGGAGGAUGCGAGCGUUAUCCGGAUUUAUUGGGUUUAAAGGGUGCGUAGGUGGUGAUUUAAGUCAGCGGUGAAAGUUUGUGGCUCAACCAUAAAAUUGCCGUUGAAACUGGGUUACUUGAGUGUGUUUGAGGUAGGCGGAAUGCGUGGUGUAGCGGUGAAAUGCAUAGAUAUCACGCAGAACUCCGAUUGCGAAGGCAGCUUACUAAACCAUAACUGACACUGAAGCACGAAAAGCGUGGGGAUCAAACAGGAUUAGAUACCCUGGUAGUCCACGCAGUAAACGAUGAUUACUAGGAGUUUGCGAUACAAUGUAAGCUCUACAGCGAAAGCGUUAAGUAAUCCACCUGGGGAGUACGCCGGCAACGGUGAAACUCAAAGGAAUUGACGGGGGCCCGCACAAGCGGAGGAACAUGUGGUUUAAUUCGAUGAUACGCGAGGAACCUUACCCGGGUUUGAACGUAGUCUGACCGGAGUGGAAACACUCUUUCUAGCAAUAGCAGAUUACGAGGUGCUGCAUGGUUGUCGUCAGCUCGUGCCGUGAGGUGUCGGCUUAAGUGCCAUAACGAGCGCAACCCUUAUCACUAGUUACUAACAGGUGAAGCUGAGGACUCUGGUGAGACUGCCAGCGUAAGCUGUGAGGAAGGUGGGGAUGACGUCAAAUCAGCACGGCCCUUACAUCCGGGGCGACACACGUGUUACAAUGGCAUGGACAAAGGGCAGCUACCUGGUGACAGGAUGCUAAUCUCCAAACCAUGUCUCAGUUCGGAUCGGAGUCUGCAACUCGACUCCGUGAAGCUGGAUUCGCUAGUAAUCGCGCAUCAGCCAUGGCGCGGUGAAUACGUUCCCGGGCCUUGUACACACCGCCCGUCAAGCCAUGGGAGCCGGGGGUACCUGAAGUCCGUAACCGCAAGGAUCGGCCUAGGGUAAAACUGGUGACUGGGGCUAAGU
rnacentral:rRNA from 1 species